CUUCAUCUCCCAAAAUAUUUGCUCCAGGAAAUUCUGAAUAACUUUGUUAUUGGUUUCUAAUAUCAUUCAUUUAUUUUCUUGGCAAAUAAUUACAGAGCACCUAAAUGUACAUUUAGGGUUCUGGAGAUGUGCUAGUGACCAAUAUGGGUGUGUUCUUUAUAGAGUUGACAGUCUAGUGGAGAGAAAGGUAUAAACAUUCCAGUAGGGAAACAGUUCACUGCAGUGGCCAUCAACGCUAUGGAGGAGUACAAGGUCCCACCUGUGCAUGAUCUCAGGAGGUUAAGCUUUAACAGGGAAGGGAGUUCUCAUCUCGAGUCCCACCUUUGACUCUCAGGUAGAAGCUGCCUUUGCACAAACCAGACCAACUGUUUGGUGUAAGUGGCGGCAUAUGAUGCAAACCCAGCAGGUGAAGUCGAUGUUUCUCUCCCAUUCUGAUCACUCUGGUCUCUGUAUGUGUUAAUUCUGUGUUGUUCUCACAAACAAGUUUCCAUAUAAACCAGCCGAAAGGGGAACAAAAGGCAAAGGCCAGCUGGGCGGCCUGCAUUGUUCACGGGCUUCCCAGGUGCCUUCCGUGCAGACUUAGUGGUUGGGAACUAGUCCUUCUUAGGCCCUCUGUCUGAUUUUCCUUUGGCUGGCUCUGAUUUCUUUACCUCCUGAACACCUGGGGCCAAGGCUCCUUUUCACAGCAGUUUGAAAGCCAUCCUUUCUUUUUGCUCUUUACUCAGUUCGGUCCAGCUCUUAAUCUUUGAACAGCAUCAAAUAUUCAUUGCUGUUUGACAAAGCUGGGGCUGGAGGGUCCAGCGUUUUCUAAAACAGAUCUUGCUUUACCAUUGGUGAUCCAGUGAGCCUUUCAGCAAGGCUGACUGUAAAUCAUCCAGGCUCAAUUAGUGUAUUUCAAAGAAAUACCCAGGUGUUGUUUGACCUUCAAACAUAUGGACUGCUGGAAUAAAUGAAAGUCUCGCCUGUUCCCAUCGUGCCGAGGGAACUAGAUGGGGUAAUUCUUUUUCCUAGUCUCUGAGUUUUGUGGAGGGAUUAUUAGGUUUGGGCUCAGUGAGUUAUUUACUUUAGCAAUAUGCUCAGUGGUGGGCUGCAGUUGCCUUUGCUGAGGGAAUUGCCAGGUGUGAGCUGUCACCAAGUACCACUAGAAUGGUGGAGGGGCGUGGGGAACCACUGGGCCAUGGAGGUGGGGCCUGAGCUCUGAGGCUUGAAGGGGACAGCCUGGGGUACAAUCGGAAGCAAUAAGAAAAUGGGAGCAGUGUUUCAUGAAAUACAAGUGAUCUCAUAGAUUGUUAUAAGAACUUAUGAUAAAUGCUUCCUACGGUGCCUGUCCCAGAGAAGCUACAAAGAAGACUGAAAGGAUUUCUACUGCCAAUACAGGCUGACUUUUAAACAAAUAUCCUCAAAGCUCGUGAAUACAUCAUGUAAGGGCUGAGGCCUCGAGGAAGGGCUUCCGUGAUGAGACUCAAAGCCUAGGAUGGUGGAAAGAGUGAGAGCUUUUAUAAUCAGAUAGACCAGGGGCUGAAUCCCAACACUGCCUAGGAACUGUGUGACCUUGAAAAGAUUUUGAGCCUUAGAUUCCAAAUUUGUAAAAAGGACAUAAUCCUUAACCUCAUAUGCUGUGCCAUAUGUAAAGUGUCAAUCUCAUUACCUGCUUAGCAAAUAUUCAUUCUGCCCCACUGCAUAAUAGUAGACCAGAAAAGUCAUCAUUUUUGGCCUGGUUGCCAUUUAGUAAGCCACAAUUAAACUGUUGGUGACUUUUCUUUAUGUUGCUUUCUGAUGGUGAUCACUUUUCGGUAAUAACCAGAAGGUGAUUCUGAAAUUUCCAUCUUAUGUUUCAAAGUUUCAAAGGUACCCUGUCUUGCUUUUGGGAUUUGCUCCUUCUUUAACCCAAAUUCAUGCAUAAUGCCUAUUUGAGACAUCUUUUCAGUUGUCUUUUAGCUGGACAUAGAAAGAUGUUGUCACUAUCCAGCCAUAAUUUGUUCAGAUUUUUAUGUUUCAACACGAUUGGUAUUUUUGAAAUUUUAUUGAAGUAUCGUUGAUUUACAGUAUUGUGUAAGUUUCUACUGUACAGCAA
ensembl:lncRNA